UCUAGUUUAAAUGAAUCCAUUGUGCUGUCAAAAUCGAUCUCACUUCCUCGUAGUGCAUACUGGCAUCAUAUAACCAGGCAGAACAGCGUUGGAGAAAUCGACAGCUUACAAGGUGAAUUCACAGACAUAUGGAAAUUUGAAAAAGUGAUUCCCAUUUCAAAAUCAGGUACCUACUUCAGUUCAACAAAAGUUUCCCGUGCACAGACUUUCCAUGGAUAUGCCUGUGAUCAAACUGAAGAACAUAAUCAGUCAUUCUCUUCUAGCAGUUAUGGGCACAGCUACAGAUCAGCUCUCGUCCAGAGAUACCAGGAGUUGGUUGACCAACGUGCUCGUAUCAGGGAGUGAACAAAAGGAAAAAAACAUGUGAACUGUAUACAAUGUGAUCAGAAGAAAGUGUCAGCUGAGACAGUGUCAAAUUAAGAGGGAUUUUUAUCACUGCAAACAAAAGGAAAUCACACUUACCAGUCCAACAAAAGAUAAAAUAGAAUUUUUCAGCUAAGUGUAAAAAACUUUACACUUGGUUUGAUCCUUGUUAAAAUAUAUAGAUUUUGGUAAGUAACACAAUUUAACCAGAAAGCUGUGAUGAAAAAAAACUGUUUCUUGCAUUAAUUCAGCCUCUUACUUGGUUGACCAUCACUGUCACACAGCCUGGAAGAUACAAGCAUAUGCAAAGUAAUGUUCCAGUAACUGCCACUGCUACUUAUAGAAAAUGCAAUUGUUGCUGUCAGACCUCCUGCUAGUUAUGGUGUACAUGGUUAUUUAUGAUCUAUUGGCUACAUGCCAUGGCAUACCAUUUCUGUACCUUUAGUGUAUAAUACAGUCAAACAAAACAAAUCAAAUCUUUUCACCAAAUGAUGAGUUUAGGAAGGCAGAGUGUGAUAUGCAACUACGUAACCUCAAUUGAUCCAUCGUGUUUCUUAAAUAUAAACAUAACCUGUCAUUAUUCCCCAUCCAUCUUUGAGUCUUCUUUUGCAGUAAAAACAAAAUUAGGAUGUAGAAUAUUUAAUUUAGAAGGAACGUUUCAUAUAAAUGUAAAGUGAAACUCAAGAAAAAGUAAUGAAAACGGAAUAUGCAAGCACUUUCCAAAGUGUAAGGGUACCUGAGAUGAGUGUUGAACUGAGACUGCUUUGCACAAGGUGAACUAACCUUACAUUGUCUUCAGACUCUGCAGUUUACAUGAUUCCUAGUUUAUGCAGCUUUCAUGAAAGCACUGAUAUCCUUGUUUUAUUCGUGUUACUUACUUGUUUGAUCCUUUUAAUCACCCUGGGCUAUCAUCUCAGGAAUUCUUGCACAAACAGUGUUCAACUCAAUGCAAAUGACUCAUUUUGUAAAUGUUGUUAAGCAUUUUAUGUAGUCAGAACCCAGGUUAUAUAUUUAGUGGUAAAGUAGCAAUUCAGCUGCUUAAAUAUAUGAACUCAGAGAAAAGUUGACGUGGAUCGAGAGCAUGACUUAAGAAUUCUGCAUGUCUGAAUUUUCAGCUCAAAGCUAUUUGUAUGUACAUUUAAAUAUCCAUGGUUCUCCAUGAAAGAAAGCCAUCUGAAAACAAUAAAGGCAACUGACUGCAUGAAUAUUUGAUUUACUAGUCAGGGAUGAUCUACUGCAAAACAGUGAUUAAAGACAUUAAAACUUGUAGAUUGUGCCAACAGGAAACAGAAUUAAAUUAAGUUUGGCCAGCCAAAUUAGCUGUAACAGCACCAUUGUUUUGGAUAAGGGAUCUCAUUAUAUGGACCUCAUGUUCAACUGGCUGCCUGCUGCAUAAGUUAUGACUUUAAAUAUCUACUCAUCUUCAUCUUUUGGAUGAAUACUAACAAUAUGAAACAUUUGUUUCAUUCCUCCUGCAGACUAUACUUUUAACAAUGAAGAGCACUAUUCAUGUACAAUGUAUAAUGUGGAGCAUGGCUUGUAGACCUUAGAAUGGCAAAAAAAAUAUUUGUGGCACAUAAAAAACAAUGCGUAAUGGGGUGAGACCUUGUGUGUUGUGUUAUUCUGUCCUAUUGCUUAAUGACAGUACCCUGACAACCAAUUUCCCAUGUUAAUGUAUCUACUCCCUAAUAGUGUGCAAGUCAAAAAUGGUAUACCACUGUUGUAUUCACUGUUCCAAUUUGUAGCCAUAUCAGUCCCCAUCCUCUGCUUUGAUGUUGGCAGCAGAGAGUACCAUGCAACAUGCUUGCGCCAUCAAGGCUAAAAGCCCCCUUAAACCUCUGUUGCAUGGCAGAAAAUCUGUACCAAUGAUGGAAUCAUGUGUUAUGCUAAAAAAUAUCUGCUGCACACAGCCUUCAACUUCCUCCACACUGUAAUGCUGGUGAGUUCCAGCCAAUAGGAGUUCAGAGAGUACCAGAUCCCAUCAUUACCUUAGUAUGAUACAGAACCCCAGUAUGGUGACUCAUGGAUAUCUUUAUGAAUCACAAUCAUGAGUAAAAGUGGACCACAGCAUUGUAGUAUAAGGGAACAUGUUAAAGUACAAUAGGCCUUAAUAAGUAGCUAUACAUAUGCACAUUGGCAUGCUAGGUACCUCUAUGUAGUUUUCGUAAAACUGAUAUCUGUGCUGCCAUAGAGUACUGUGAUUCAUGUCUAUGAUUCAUUGUAGUCAUGAUGGUAAACUAAAUAUGGUACAAAAUAUGCUUUUCUACAUCAGUGCACUGUAUUUAUGAGUACCAGGGACCUGUCACAGAAAAGACAUAAAUAAUUUAAUGCAAUUAAAGAACAUUUGCAUAGCAUACAUACUUUUUGUAUAUAAUUCUGGAUCUUAAUCAUCUGAAGAAAGAAAACACAAUCAGUAAUCAGCUGUCAAACAAUAGAUAUGUGAAAGGCUGGAAUUUACACAAGGGAGAACCACUACCAGGUAUCACACACAUUUCUUGUAUCAUAAUGUAGGCAUCCAAGUCUUCUCUUCAGAUUAAGUGGAAUGUUACCAAAUACUCUGGUAUAACUUAAAAUGCUUUAUUGUAAUUUAAAUAAAAGUAAACAAGAAAGGAUACAAAGGAGGGCUACUAGAGGAUGAAGGACAGAUAAGGAGGCCAGUAAAGAAUAAAUCAUGUUCAGAAAACAAUGAAAAAAUCUUUACAGUAGCAUAAGAAAUGUUUAGAGGCACCAUACCAAAAUACUUUACAAAAGUAAUAAAAACUCUGACCAGAUGGUUUAAAGGUAGUCCAUAAAAUGGUUGUCUUCUUUGAAGUCAAACCAUGAUUAUUUUAGGUCAUAGUUCAGAAGGCAUUUAACACGGUCACUUCAAAACUUAAUGGAAAAAAAGUACAAUUUGAUUUCAGUACUUCAAGACACACUUUCUAGCAAUGAUUAGAAUUUUAUAGUACAUAAAACAUGUGAAGCAGGCACACAUGGUAGAAGGCCCAUAUACAGCUUAAUAUAAUUUCACAUUUUAAAUUGCCUUCUCUUUUUCUCCUGUACCUACCUCCAACAUAAAAAAACUCUUAACUAAAC